AACGAACGCUGGCGGCAUGCCUAACACAUGCAAGUCGAACGAUCCCUUCGGGGAUAGUGGCGCACGGGUGCGUAACGCGUGGGAACCUGCCCUUAGGUUCGGAAUAACUCAGAGAAAUUUGAGCUAAUACCGGAUAAUGUCUUCGGACCAAAGAUUUAUCGCCUUUGGAUGGGCCCGCGUUGGAUUAGCUAGUUGGUGGGGUAAAGGCCUACCAAGGCGACGAUCCAUAGCCGGUCUGAGAGGAUGAUCAGCCACACUGGGACUGAGACACGGCCCAGACUCCUACGGGAGGCAGCAGGGGGGAAUAUUGGACAAUGGGCGAAAGCCUGAUCCAGCAAUGCCGCGUGAGUGAUGAAGGCCUUAGGGUUGUAAAGCUCUUUUACCCGGGAUGAUAAUGACAGUACCGGGAAAAUAAGCCCCGGCUAACUCCGU
rnacentral:rRNA from 1 species